GGUUCUGUAGCUUAAUUUGGUUAAAGUCUUAUCUUGUCACGAUAAUGGAUAUCCGUUCGAAUCGGAUUAGAAUCG